UACGAAGGGGGCUAGCGUUGCUCGGAAUGACUGGGCGUAAAGGGCUCGUAGGCGGCGUGUCGCGUCGGGAGUGAAAGCCCGUUGCUUAACGGCGGGUCUGCAUUCGAUACGGGUCUGCUGGGGUCCGGCAGGGGAGACUGGAAUUCCUGGUGUAGCGGUGAAAUGCGCAGAUAUCAGGAGGAACACCGGUGGCGAAGGCGGGUCUCUGGGCCGGUACCGACGCUGAGGAGCGAAAGCGUGGGGAGCGAACAGG
rnacentral:rRNA from 1 species